UGGGGGAUAUUGCACCAUGGGCGAAAGCCUGGUGCAGCAACGCCGCGUGCGGGAAGACGGUCUUCGGAUUGUAACCCUUUAGCUUUGGGGAAGAAACAAAUGACGGUACCCAAAGGGGCAGCCACGGCUAACUACGUGCCAGCAGCCGCGGUAAUACGUAAGUGGCAAGCGUUGUCCGGAAUUACUGGGUGUAAAGGGAGCGCAGGCGGGGAGACAAGUCAGCUGUGAAAACUAUGGGCUUAACCCAUAGAUUGCAGUGGAAACUGGUUGUCUUGAGUGGAGUAGAGGUAGGCGGAAUUCCGAGUGGAGCGGUGAAAUGCGUAGAUAUUCGGAGGAACAACAGUGGCGAAGGCGGCCUACUGGGCUCUAACUGACGCUGAGGCUCGAAAGUGUGGGGAGCAAACA
rnacentral:rRNA from 1 species